UACGUAGGGAGCAAGCGUUGUCCGGAAUCAUUGGGCGUAAAGCGCGCGUAGGCGGCCCGAUAAGUCCGCUGUAAAAGUCAACGGCUCAACUGUUGAAAGCCGGUGGAUACUGUCGGGCUAGAAGUACGGAAGAGGCAAGUGGAAUUCCUGGUGUAGCGGUGGAAUGCGCAGAUAUCAGGAGGAACACCCAUAGCGAAGGCAGCUGCUGGGACGUUACUGACGCUAAGGCGCGAAAGCGUGGGGAGCGAACAGG
rnacentral:rRNA from 1 species